GGAGUCUGAUGGUUGUAGAGUAAUAACUGUUCCUGAACAUUGUGGCGUAGAAGUUAAGGCUCCUAUACCUUCAUCACGACAGUAGCAGCGAGAAGAGAGCAAGGCCGAUGGUGGGGGUCCUUGCAUAAAUUACUUACAUGACAACAAUUCGUAAAAUCUCAUAUUCUGCUGCUCGACCUAUUCAUCACCUGAAAGAGGAGCCAAACAGAUGAUGGAAAUCUGAAACAUCGACGGAAAGGUACAAAGGGUUAAGUUGCAUCUCUGGAGAGAGGACCAGUGUGAAAAAUUCAGGGGACCUGAUGUCUGUGUGUCUUCAAGUUGGGUACCUCAUGUCUAUGAGCCUGUGAGCCCAAGCCAGGGUCUGGAGUUUGGAAGCCCAGAAGUGGGAGGUCAUGGGUCGGAGACCUGUCUGAUAGUGCAGCCAGAAAGCAAAGAAACCCGAAAGAACCCAUAAAAUAAAGAAGACCAUCAAACACCCAAUGCGCAAAGAGGAAAAAAAAUGAAUUGUGGAAAUAAUAAAAGUAAGCAAGUAGCAUUCAGAACGAAAAUGAGUCCAUGGACAUGAAGCGUGGAGCAGUCCAAGUUGCUCUUAGCCUCAGCAUCAGUUUAGUGUGGAGCCGAGUAAACAUCACCCAGAGCGGCCAGUUCAAAAGCUGAUUGAAGGUACCAACUGCUUCUGAACCUGCUGGUGCAAGUCCUGAGUCUCCUGUACCUUCUCCUGAUGGCAGCACGAGAAGAAAGAAUACCCUGUGUGAUGGGGGUCCCUGAUGAUGAAUGCUGCUUGCCUGAGACAGCAUUUCAUGUUGAAGUGCUCAAUGGUGGGGAGGGCUUUACUUGUGGUGGACUGGGCCAUAUCCAUAACUUUUCAUAGGACUUUCUGUUCAAGGAUAUUGGUGUUUCCAUACCAGGCUGUGAUGCAGUCAGUCAAUAUACUCUCCACUACACAUCUAUAGAGGUUUGUCAAAGUUUUAUAUGUCAUGUCAAGUCUUUGUAAGCUCCUAGGAAGGAGAGGUACUACAUGCUUUCUUCAUAACUGCACUUACCUGCUGGGCCCAGAACAGGCCCUCUGAAAUGAUAGCAGCAAGGAAUUUAAAGUUGCUGACCCUCUCUACCUCUUAUCCUCCAUUGAAGACUGCCUGAAUGCCCUCUGGUUUCCUUCUCCUAUAACUUUCUGUAGACCAUUCCUGCUACUAGUGUUUCAACACCAAGCACUUGAGAUAUGGCAUGAUGCCUUCUACAAACAAGAAACAGCCCAUCCCGAAGCAUUUCAAAUCAUAGUCUGGGACUUCAACCAGGCUUGUUCGAAGACAAUCCUGCCCAAUUAGCAUCAAUACAUACCCUGUAGCACCAGAGGUCCCAACACACUGGACCACAGUUAUACUAAGAUAAGGAAUACCUACCAUUCCAUGCCCAGACUACAUUUCAGUAAAUCUGAUCACUUGGCCGUCCUUCUCCUACUUGCAUACAGGCAGAGGCUAAAGCUCCUGAGAUUAGGACAACAAAGAGGUGGUUGUGGGAGGCAGAGGACCGGCUAUGGGAUUGCUUCAAGUCAGUAGACUGGGUUGUGUUCAAGGAAUCAUCUGUGGAUAUGUGAAUACUCCACGGACUUUAUUAAAACAGUUGAAGAUGAGUGUGCUUCUGCAAAGUCAUUUAGAGUCUUCACCAACUAGAAGCCCUGGAUGAACCAUGAGUUCGGCAAUCUGCUGAGGACCGGAUCAGAUCAAAGGUGUCCAAGUCUGGUGACCAAGAAAGUUACAAGAGGUCCAGGUGCAAUCUCCUGAAAUCUAUCUCAAAGAUAAAGUGGCAAUUCUGGACCAAACUUGAAUAAAUGAAAGAUGCUGAACAAUUGCGGCAGGGCUUGAGUUCUAUCGCCACUUAUAACGUUAAAUCAAGCAACUCAGGUGGCAAGAGGGCUUCACUUCCAGGUGAGCUCAAUGCCUGCCUUCAAUGUUUGCUUUGACUGUCAAAACUUGGAGGAACCAUCUCAAGCUCCCACAGCCUCCAAUGAUUCUGUGAUUUCAGUCCUUGAGGCCAAUGUGCGAGCAGCCUUCAGGAAGAUGCACCCAUGGAGAGCUUCUGGAGCAGACGGGAUACUGGGCCAAGUACCAAAAACCUGUGCUAUCAACUGGCUGCAAUGUUCACUGAGAUCUUUAACCUCUCACUUUACCAGUCUAAGGUACCCACCUGCUUCAAUCCGGCUUCAAUAAUACCAGAAAAACAUAUUAACCUGCCCCAAUGACUAUCAUACAGUAGCACUUACAUCUUCCGUGAUGAAGUAUUUUGAGAGAUUGUGGUGAUGCAUAUCAACUCCUACCUGAGAAGCAACUUGGAUCCACUCCAAUUUGUCUACUCGAACAACAAGCCCACAGCGGAAGGAAACAUAGAAAAGUAGAAAACCUACAGCACAAUACAGGCACUUGGGCCCACAAAGCUGUGCCAAACAUGUCCUUACCUUAGAAAUUACCUAGGGUUACCCAUAGCCCUCUAUUUUUCUGAGCUCCAUGUAACUGUCCAGGAGUGUCUUAGAAGACCCUAUCGUAUCUGUCUCCACCACCAUUGCCGACAGUCCAUUCCACGCACUCACCACUCUCUGAGUAAAAAACUUACCCCUAACAUCUCCUCUGUACCUACUUCUAAGCACCUUAAAACUGUGCCCUCUCAUGCGAGCCAUUUUGGCCAUGGGAAAAAGCCUCUGACUAUCCACAUGAUCAAUGCCUCUCAUCAUCUUAUACACCUCCAUCAGGUCACCUCUCAUCCUCUGUCGCUCCAAGGAGAAAAGGCCAAGUUCACUCAACCUAUUCUCAUAGGCAUGCUUCCCAAUCCAGGCAACAUCCUUGUAAAUCUCCUCUGUACCCUUUCUAUGGCUUCCACAUCCUUCCUGUGGUGAGGCGACCGGAAAUGAGCACGGUACUCCAAGUGGGGUCUGACCAGGGUCCUAUAUAGCUGCAACAUUGCCUCUUGGCUCCUAAACUCAAUCCCAUGGUUAAUGAAGGCCUCUGUGCCUUCUUAACCACAGAGUCAACCUACGCAGCAGCUUUGAGUGUCCUAUGGACUCAGACCCCAAGAUCCCUCUGAUCCUCCACACUGCCAAGAGUCUUAACAAUAAUACUAUAUUCUGCCAUUAUAUUUGACCUACCAGAAUGAAACUUAACAGGGUUGAACUCCAUCUGCCACUUCUCAGCCCAGUUUUGCAUCCUAUCAAUGUCCCGCUGUACUCUCUGACAGCCCUCCACAUGAUCCACAACACCUCCAACCUUGGUGUCAUCAGCAAACUUACUAACCCAUCCAUCCCCUUCCUCAUCCAGGUCAUUUAUAAAAAUCACAAAGAGUAGGGGUCCCAGAACAGAUCCCUAAGGCACACCACUGCUGACCGACCUCUAUGCAGAAUAUGACCCAUCUACAACCACUCUUUGCCUUCUGUGGGCAAGCAAGACCUGGAUCCACAAGCAAUGUCCCUUUGGAUCCCAUGUCACCUUACUCUCCCAAUAAACCUUGCAUGGGGUACCUUAUCAAGUGCCUUGCUGAAAUCCAUAUACACUAUGUCUAUGUCUCUUCCUUCAUUAAUGUGUUUAGUCACAUCCUCAAAAAAUUCAAUUUGGCUCCCCAGGCAUGGCCUAACUUUCACAAAACCAUGCUAAUUUUUCCUAACCAUAUUAUGCCUUUCCAAAUGUUCAUAAAUUGGGGCAUGACUGUCUCAGACAGUGAGAACAGUGAGAAGAGUUUAAAAGCCAGAGGAGUUUAAAGAGUCAGUUAUUUCUUCAGCGGUUUGAUUGGGGCAUGACUGCGCAAGCGCGUGGACAUCAACCAGUGAGAACAGCGAGAAGAGUUUAAAAGGAGACAGCUUUAUAGUGCGGGCAUCGGAGGAGUAGGCGAUGGAGUAGAGGGAAACAGAGUAGGAAGGCUUUGUCUCAAUGGGGCUUAGGCAAUAACAGGUUGCGAGGUAGGUUAUUUGUGUAGACUACAGAGAGGAAGUUUGUGUGUGAGGCCAGUGUUCUGUGCUUGGUAUCAGAUGUGGGAAGUCCAGUAGACUCACAGCCUCCCGGACGGCCACAUCUGCGCCAGGUGCAUUGAGCUACAGUUCCUUAAGGACCAUGCUAGGGAACUGCAGAUGCAGCUCGAUGACCUUUGUCUGGUCAGGGAGAGUGAAGAGGUGAUACAGAGCUAUAGGCUGGUGGUCAGACUGGGGCCUGGGGAGACAGAUAAGUGGGUAACAGUCAGGAGAGAGAAGAGCAGGAGUCAGAGGCUAGAGAGCACCCCUGUGGCUGUACCCCUUGACAAUAAGUACUCCUGCUUGAGUGCUGUUGGAGGGGAUGGCCUACCUGGGGGAAGCCACAGUGGUACAGAGUCCGGCCCUGUGGCUCAGAAGGGUAGGGAAAGGAAGAGGAUGGCAGCAGUAAUAGGGGACACCAUAGUUCGGGGGUCAGACAGAUGAUUCUGUGGAUGCAAGAAAGAAACUAGGGCGGUAGUUUGCCUCCAGGGUGCCAGGGUCUGGGAUGUUUCUGAUUGCAUCCAUGAUAUCCUGAAGUGGGAAGGAGAACAGCCAGAGGUCGUGGUACAUAUUGGUACCAACGACAUAGGCAGGAAAUGGAAGGAGGUCGUGAAAGCAGACUACAGGGAGUUAGGAAGGAAGUUGAGAAGCAGAACCUUAAAGGGAGUCAUCUCGGGAUUACUGCCUGUGCCACAUGACAGUGAGUAUAGGAAUAGAGUGAGGUGGAGAAUGAAUGCGUGGCUGAGAGAUUGGAGUGGGGGUAGGGAUUCAGAUUUCUGGUUGAUUGGGACCUCUAUUGGAGCAGGAGUGACCUGUACAAAAAGGACGGGUUGCACCUGAAUCGCAGUGGGACCAAUAUUCUGGCGGAAAGGUUUGCUAAAGCUAUUGGGGAGAGUUUAAACUAGGAUUACUGGGGGGGGGGAGGUGG